rnacentral:rRNA from 1 species
UACGGAGGGUGCAAACGUUGCUCGGAAUCACUGGGCGUAAAGCGCACGUAGGCGGUCCGAUAAGUCGGAUGUGAAAGCCCUGGGCUCAACCUAGGAAGUGCAUUCGAAACUGUCGGACUUGAGUACGGGAGAGGGUUGCGGAAUUCCCGGUGUAGAGGUGAAAUUCGUAGAUAUCAGGAGGAACACCGGUGGUGUAAACGGCUUUCUGGACCAUAACUGACGCUGAGGCACGAAAGCGUGGGUAGCAAACAGG